rnacentral:rRNA from 1 species
UACGUAGGGGGCUAGCGUUGUCCGGAAUCAUUGGGCGUAAAGCGCGUGUAGGCGGUCCGGUAAGUCCGCUGUGAAAGUCGAGGGCUCAACCCUCGAAUGCCGGUGGAUACUGCCGGGCUUGAGUACGGGAGAGGCGAGUGGAAUUCCUGGUGUAGCGGUGAAAUGCGCAGAUAUCAGGAGGAACACCGGUGGCGAAGGCGGAUCUCUGGGCCUUACCUGACGCUCAGGCGCGAAAGCUAGGGGAGCGAACUGG